GAUAUCUGCAAGCUUGCUGCGGGCUUGAUCACGGCGACGAUGAGCCGGGAUAGGAAGGUAAGGGAACAUCACACUGAUUGGGAGCAUUCCAUUGUCAAGGUCAUGAAACAAAGCAGAAACAUCCGCAAAUAGCUUAUCACGAACCUCACUUCCCAGUAGACAUCUACUAGCUGUUAAGAUAAUAAGGUGUUCCAACUCAUACUUGAGAUCCACCUCCCCACUGUCACCCCACUUAGAGAAGAAGUCCUCAGCUUCUCUAACCAUCUGAUCCACAUAGCCUUUCAAUUUAGUGACUCUAAGAGCCUCAGUGAAGAAUCUGAACUGCUCUUGGCGAAUGGAGUAAUCCACAUCGAACACAACGCCAGGUCCAAAAGUUGGGACAUUAAACUGGUAAACUUCCUGCUGGCUAAGAUCAGACUCAGAUGCCUUGAAGAAAUGAGAAGAGACCUCGGGGCCAAUCAAGAAGGUGAUUUUCUUAUGCAAUAAGUUCAAGGUGAAGACACUCCCAAGUUUAGGGUACUCCUUCCUUAGCAUCACAAUCGGACCUUUAAGGAAACGGAGCAAUCCCCCAACAAAGGGGAAGCCCUUCACAGUGGGAGGAGCACGUUUGUUAGAUCUGGAAUUCAGAAGAGCAGAAAUGAGCUUGGCGAAGAGUAAAGUGGCCACCACAAGAACACCCACAUUCAAGAAUUUGUUGUCCGGCUCCAUCGCACACAACCAACCAACAAACACAGAGACACAGAAUUGAAAGGAAAGACGAA
rnacentral:misc_RNA from 1 species